UAGUUGUAGAAUAGUGGUAGCUCACAUACUCACAUCUGAUUAGGGUUUCAUAGAGGUUGUUGUGUUAGUAUUUCCGUGGGUAGUGUUAUGAGCCUGGUGAUAGUUUGACAAGGCUUUGGUGGAGGUUGUUGUGUUAGUAUUUCCAUGGGUAGUGUUAUGAGCCUGGUGAUAGUUUGACAAGGCUUUGGUGGAGGUUGUUGUGUUAGUAUUUCCAUGGGUAGUGUUAUGAGCCUGGUGAUAGUUUGACAAGGCUUUGGUGGAGGUUGUUGUGUUAGUAUUUCCAUGGGUAGUGUUAUGAGCCUGGUGAUAGUUUGACAAGGCUUUGGUGGAGGUUGUUGUGUUAGUAUUUCCAUGGGUAGUGUUAUGAGCCUGGUGAUAGUUUGACAAGGCUUUGGUGGAGGUUGUUGUGUUAGUAUUUCCAUGGGUAGUGUUAUGAGCCUGGUGAUAGUUUGACAAGGCUUUGGUGGAGGUUGUUGUGUUAGUAUUUCCAAGGGUAGUGUUAUGAGCCGCCCUGUCCAAGAGAGCUGUGUGAGUGGAGCCCCCCCCCCCUCCCCCCCCAAUACGUGAGAUGCAUACUCCAUACGAGGGCGGACAAGGCCCCCGUAUAUUCGUAGCAACUGUGCGGGGGAGAAGAACUGGCGGAGACGCUAUCAAGACUUCGCUACCCAGACUUCGCUACCAAGACUUCGCUACCCAGACUUCGCUACCCAGACUUCGCUACCAAGACUUCGCUACCCAGACUUCGCUACCCAGACUUCGCUACCCAGACUUCGCUACCCAGACUUCGCUACCAAGA